GAGUAACGCGUAAGAAUCUACCUUCAGGUUGGGGACAACCACUGGAAACGGUGGCUAAUACCGAAUGUGCCGAGAGGUGAAAGGCUUGCUGCCUGAAGAAGAGCUUGCGUCUGAUUAGCUAGUUGGUGGGGUAAGAGCCUACCAAGGCGACGAUCAGUAGCUGGUCUGAGAGGAUGAUCAGCCACACUGGGACUGAGACACGGCCCAGACUCCUACGGGAGGCAGCAGUGGGGAAUUUUCCGCAAUGGGCGAAAGCCUGACGGAGCAAUACCGCGUGAGGGAGGAAGGCUCUUGGGUUGUAAACCUCUUUUCUCAGGGAAGAAAAAAAUGACGGUACCUGAGGAAUAAGCAUCGGCUAACUCCGUGCCAGCAGCCGCGGUAAUACGGAGGAUGCAAGCGUUAUCCGGAAUGAUUGGGCGUAAAGGGUCCGCAGGUGGCAUUGUAUGUCUGCUGUUAAAGAGUCUGGCUCAACCAGAUCAAAGCAGUGGAAACUACAAAGCUAGAGUAUGGUCGGGGCAGAGGGAAUUCCUGGUGUAGCGGUG
rnacentral:rRNA from 1 species